GACGAACGCUGGCGGCGUGCUUAACACAUGCAAGUCGAACGAAAAUACCAAGCUUGCUUGGUUGAUUAGUGGCGAACGGGUGAGUAACACGUGAGUAACCUGCCCCUUACUUUCCUGGAUAACUGCCCGAAAGGGUAGCUAAUACGGGAUAUUCUGACCAGCCUGCAUGGGUUGGUUUGGAAAGGUUGUUUUUCUGGUAAGGGAUGGGCUCGCGGCCUAUCAGCUUGUUGGUGGGGUGAUGGCCUACCAAGGCUUUGACGGGUAGCCGGCCUGAGAGGGUGGACGGUCACACUGGGACUGAGAUACGGCCCAGACUCCUACGGGAGGCAGCAGUGGGGAAUAUUGCACAAUGGGCGCAAGCCUGAUGCAGCGACGCCGCGUGAGGGAUGAAGGCCUUCGGGUUGUAAACCUCUUUCGUCAGGGAACAAGGCACUGUCUUUUUGGUGGUGUUGAGGGUACCUGGAUAAGAAGCGCCGGCUAACUACGUGCCAGCAGCCGCGGUAAUACGUAGGGCGCAAGCGUUGUCCGGAAUUAUUGGGCGUAAAGAGCUCGUAGGCGGCUGGUCGCGUCUGUCGUGAAAACUUCCGGCUCAACCGGGGGCUUGCGGUGGGUACGGGCCGGCUAGAGUGCGGUAGGGGUAACUGGAACUCCUGGUGUAGCGGUGGAAUGCGCAGAUAUCAGGAAGAACACCGAUGGCGAAGGCAGGUUACUGGGCCGUUACUGACGCUGAGGAGCGAAAGCGUGGGGAGCGAACAGG
rnacentral:rRNA from 1 species